CGCGGGCGGAGAAGUCCCACCCUUCUCUGGUUUGACUGACUGUUUUCCCUUUGCAUCUGUGUAGCAUUGUACGCUAUCUGAUUGACUCCCCUGGCGUGGCUAACAUCUCACUGACAGGUGGCUAAGUGGGGAUAAGUGGGCUAAAGUCGGUGGCCGACCAGGAAUUGUUGGACGCGAAGCGCCAUCGUGUGGCCAAAGUUAUGUAUACCUACAGAUCCUAGUAAGGAUUCACCGCAGUCCGUGUCGGGCAUCUCUGAUCACUCUGCUCGGCAUUCGCGUCUCAUGAAUGAAUUUAAGCUCUGAGUUGCUUCGAUCCUGCCUCACAGCCUCCGGCACAGAGCAUGCGCAAUACAGCCUGUCUUAGUUAGGGUUUUAUUUCUGUGAACAGACACCAUGACCAAGGCAAGUCUUAUAAA